rnacentral:rRNA from 2 species
CCAUUCCGCAAGGAAGUAAGAUCCCUGAAAGAUGAUCAGGUUGAUAGGUCUGAGGUGGAAGUGUGGCGACACAUGGAGCUGACAGAUACUAAUCGAUCGAGGACUUAACCAA